UUUCAAUAGCAAAUUUUUGCAGAUCCAUUUUUUUGUAGAACAUCAGUCUUUCUUCAAACAAAAAAAUUAAAUUCAUCCUUAGCACAAGACUUACUCAAACAUGAUUCUAAAGCAUAAUUUCUUCCAGCUCUCUUCUUUCAACAACCAUUAAUCGAUUUGCAAUUCAAAAUUUCAGGGAGAGUUUUUCUCAAAAAUAUAUGAUGUUGGUGACGAAUUGACAAAUGCACUGGAGGAAUGUGAUUUUUUAUCAAAGAUGAUCCAGAAGAUCCAAGCAUGAAAGAUGUAUCUGUUUUUGUCUAAUUCUAUACAGUAUGUAAAUGUAUAUAAUUAGUAUUCCCACAUAUGAAAAUGUUAAACUAAGUAAGUAUCUCACUUCGACAUUCAGUAGUAUGACAUUCACAUGAAAAUAUAUUAUGAACAAAUUUGGCAGCUAUAAUGUGUUCGAA